GACGAACGCUGGCGGCGUGCCUAAUACAUGCAAGUCGAACGCAGUGGGGACGGGUGAGUAACACGUGGGUAACCUCCCAUCAGAGGGGAUAACACUUGGAAACAGGUGCUAACAUGAUAUUGAUGGAUGGACCCGCGGUGCAGUAGCUAGUUGGUGAGGUAACGGCUAACCAAGGCCACGCUGCAUAGCGGACCUGAGAGGUGGAUGGGACACACUGGGACUGAGACACGGCCCAGACUCCUACGGGAGGCAGCAGAAGGGAAUCGGCGGCAAGGGGCGAAAGUCUGACCGAGCAACGCCGCGUGAGUGAAGAAGGUUUGCGGAUCGUAAAACUCGGUUGUUGGGGAAGCGGUAUCUAACCAGAAAGCCACGGCUAACUACGUGCCAGCAGCCGCGGUAAUAC
rnacentral:rRNA from 1 species